GUCGAGAAUCUUUCACAAUGGGGGCAACCCUGAUGGAGCGACGCCGCGUGGAGGAUAAGGUCUUCGGAUUGUAAACUCCUGUCAUGCGUGAACAAGGUUGCUUGGUUAAUACCUGGGCAAAUUGAUGGUAACGCAAGAGGAAGAGACGGCUAACUCUGUGCCAGCAGCCGCGGUAAUACAGAGGUCUCAAGCGUUGUUCGGAAUCACUGGGCGUAAAGGGUGCGUAGGUGUCGUGGUAAGUCAGAUGUGAAAGCCCGGGGCUCAACCUCGGAACUGCAUCCGAUACUGCCAUGCUAGAGUACUGGAGAGGUGACUAGAAUUCUCGGUGUAGCAGUGAAAUGCGUAGAUAUCGAGAGGAAUACCAAAGGCGUAGGCAGGUCACUGGACAGUUACUGACACUGAGGCACGAAGGCCAGGGGAGCGAACGGGAUUAGAUACCCGUGUAGUCC
rnacentral:rRNA from 1 species